GCGGUCGUAGUCUAGUUUGGUCUAGGACGUCAGCCUGCCAACCGGAUCUAGGGCGGAGCGCUGGUGACCCGGGUUCAAAUCCCGGCGACCGCA
rnacentral:tRNA from 1 species